UACAGAGACCUCGAGCGUUAUUCGGAAUCACUGGGCUUAAAGCGUGCGAAGGCGGACACGAGGGCAUUUUGUGAAAUCCCUCCGCUCAACGGAGGAACUGCAGGGUGAACCGCGUGUCUUGAGUCAGGUAGGGGCUGUCGGAACGAUAGGUGGAGUGGUGAAAUGCGUUGAUAUCUAUCGGAACGCCGAAGGUGAAGACAGGCAGCUGGGCCUGAACUGACGCUCAUGUACGAAAGCGUGGGGAGCGAACGGG
rnacentral:rRNA from 1 species